GACGAACGCUGGCGGCGUGCUUAACACAUGCAAGUCGAACGGUAAGGCCCUUCGGGGUACACGAGUGGCGAACGGGUUAGUAACACGUGGGUGAUCUGCCCUGCACUUCGGGAUAAGCCUGGGGAACUGGGUCUAAUACCGGAUAGGAACUCUUCCUGCAUGGGUGGGGGUGGAAAGCUUUUGCGGUGUGGGAUGGGCCCGCGGCCAAUCAGCUUGUCGGUGGGGUGAUGGCCUACCAAGGCGACGACGGGUAGCCGGCCUGAGAGGGUGACCGGCCACACUGGGACUGAGAUACGGCCCAGACUCCUACGGGAGGCAGCAGUGGGGAAUAUUGCACAAUGGGCGCAAGCCUGAUGCAGCGACGCCGCGUGAGGGAUGACGGCCUUCGGGUUGUAAACCUCUUUCAGCACCGACGAAGCGCAAGUGACGGUAGGUGCAGAAGAAGGACCGGCCAACUACGUGCCAGCAGCCGCAGUAA
rnacentral:rRNA from 1 species